ACAGCACCUUGAAAGUGUACAGCGAUAGUUAUUAUGUUCCGCAAGCAACACAGGAUACCAGCCAUGGACAUUUGGACACAGGACCUUGGAGGCCUGAAGACCUGUUAUAUACCAGAGACAGUUGUUUAUAUUUAGUGUAUUUAUACAUUUGUGUAUAUCAUAGCAGGGAUAUGAUAUAUCUGCUUACCAAAGUAAAACCAGAGCCCUAAUUUGAACUGUGUAUUGAAAUGGACAGUACCACUGUGCAAUGCAUGUAUCUUAGAAUCAAUAAUCAAAGAUAGAAUUGUUCAGGUCACUGUGCCUUUUAAAUAAACAACAAAUGGACAAAACAAA